GUGGGGAAUUUUGGACAAUGGGGGCAACCCUGAUCCAGCCAUUCCGCGUGAGUGAAGAAGGCCUUCGGGUUGUAAAGCUCUUUCGGCAGGAACGAAACGGUGGGCUCUAACAUAGUCUGCUAAUGACGGUACCUGAAGAAGAAGCACCGGCUAACUACGUGCCAGCAGCCGCGGUAAUACGUAGGGUGCGAGCGUUAAUCGGAAUUACUGGGCGUAAAGCGUGCGCAGGCGGUUUUGUAAGACAGGUGUGAAAUCCCCGGGCUUAACCUGGGAACUGCGCUUGUGACUGCAAGACUCGAGUGCGGCAGAGGGGGGUGGAAUUCCACGUGUAGCAGUGAAAUGCGUAGAGAUGUGGAGGAACACCGAUGGCGAAGGCAGCCCCCUGGGUCGACACUGACGCUCAUGCACGAAAGCGUGGGUAGCAAACAGGAUUAGAUACCCGGGUAGUCC
rnacentral:rRNA from 1 species